CCAGAUUGUGUUGGUAGGAACGAAAAAGGAUCUGCAAACCAGUCCAACGGAUAAGAUUACUCAAAGUAGACGAGUGUUAGAUACUGGAGCAUUUGCUUACAUUGAGACAUCAGCCAAACUAAACCAUGGAGUUACUGAGGCAUUUGAGAAGGCCAUCUACGCAGGCCUGUUUGAAUUGAAUGGCAAGCCCAAGAAGAAACCAAUAUGUAACUUUCUCUGACGUCAUCAUAUCAAAAUAUAUAUAUUCGGCUUGUCUGUUUCUUUUAUAUCAAAUAAACUUUAAAACGG